GAAAAGAAAGCAACAGCGAUUGCCCGAGUAACGGCGAGUGAAACGGCACAAGCCUAUCACCAAGUCUCGAGAGUUAAUUUGCUUUCGAGAGGUGCGGUGUUACAGACUCUGGUCUAUUCUUGGCUAUUAGCAUUCAUGAUCGAGUACAAGUCCCAUUGAGUUGGGCUGCACUGAGGCUUCAAAACCUUAGUGGCCAGAGAGGGUGAGAGUCCCUUAGUGCUCGGAUGCUAAAGCUAGCGACCAGUGUACGUUUUGUUGUAAUAGACAUAACGAAUCUGUUAGAGUCAGGAUGCUUGAAAGUGCAUCCCAAAGAGCGAGGUAAACCACUCGUAAGGCUAAAAUAUUGCUGCGACACCGAUAGCAAACAAGUACCGUGAGGGAAAGUUGAAAAGCACUUUGAAGAGAGAGUUAGAAAGGGCGUGAAACCGCACACUGGUAAACUGACAGUUUGGUUAGGUGUUGGGUACUGAGAGUUCAACUAUAAAUUUUAUUUAUAGUGCAUUCUUUUGGUACACCAUACGAUUGCACCGGAUUAGAGACUAGUCUUUGACGCUAGCUAUAAGAGUACCUUGUGUGUCUUAUAUGCUAACUGAAAGCACUAGAUACUGAUUCGUUUUAAAAUAGGCCUAUUGGUCUUUAAGAUAAAUUAUAAUAUGGUUUUACUGGCGACUAGCAUCAAGUUGUAAGUGUAGUGCAAGUUAUAUUGUCUGGCAACAGGCAAUUGACUAACUCACCCAAUUUCAGUAUGUUAGCUCCAAAUGUAGCCUAUUAUUUUUAUUGGAUGCAGUCGAAAGC
rnacentral:rRNA from 1 species